UGAUAAGACCGAAAAACUUAUGAAUUCUGCACGAUACAGACCAACGGUGGCCUUUGGGAAUUACAAAAGUUUUAAAUAUAUCCUAAAGCAAUAAAUGGUAAUGAAGGUCCAACAAUAUAUUCAAUGGUCAUAAAUGAGAAAAACUGAAAAGAAACAACAAUUCUCUCUUCUCACGGUCCGAUUCCCUUUAUUAUUCACUUUUUUCGAAAAUCAUCUUCUUUUUUUCUCAAAAUAAAUUUCUCUCUUCAUCCUUACAUAGAUCUACCAUUGAAUUAGAAACCAGAAAAUAAACAAACAUCGGUCAUCCCUCAAUAACAAAUAAACAUAACCUCGAAUUGAAAUUUGGACAACGAUUUAAUCAACCAAACAAAAUCCAACAGUGAAGACAAUGAGAAAGUGUACCGAUUUAAAGCUUUCGUCUGUCCAGAUCCCAACGAUCCUUCAAGCAGUUCUUUACACGAUUCACGAUCGUGGGUGCUCACCGAGGGGUUCAAUCCAACUACCUCAAAGUUUUAGCGAGAAACUCUGAAUAGUUUUCAUGAUUUGGACUUUAAGGAAUUCAGGUAAGGCUUUUUGGCAGAGUAACAGUAGGGGUCCCCUUUUUGCAAUGAUCAAUGGUCUCUUAUAUAGAGAGGAGAUAAAAUGGUCCCUCCUACAUCCGCUGGCAGGAGGGAAGCGCGUCAGUUCGUUAGAGUAAGAUCCUCCCCCGGAUUUGGUGUGGUCCAAAAUUAAUGUGGUAAGCACGAGUUUUGUCGGUAGUGAAAUCCCUCCAUGAUGCGUGGCCCCUUUGUUGAGUUUCUCUUGGAUUGUUACUGCUGUAAGACAGAUGUGCUGUUUCCAAGAGUGCACCAUUGAAUGCUGAAACCAUUUUCACAGUUCUUGCAACAUUGAGGAACAUGGAAGAACCUGUUAGAAUGAUCCCUGAGGCUCUAUCCGUUAAUAUUCAAGUUAAGGUUUCCUUCGACCGUCUCAAUAACUUUUUGCUUGAUGAAGAACUAAACAAAGAUGAUAGUGAAAGAAACUUCAAGCAAUGUUCUGUUAAUGCUGUGGAAAUUCAAGAUGGCAACUUCAUUUGGAUCGUGAAUUUGUGUCUCCAACUUUAACAUAUGUAAAUUUAGAAAUCAAACGGGGACAGAAAAUAGCAGUUUAUGGACCAGUUGGUGCUGGAAAAUCGUCACUUUUGUAAUUCCUAAGAUUUCUGGAACAGUGCCAGUCUUGCUUAUGUUUUCUAAAUCUUCAUGGAUACAAAGUGGAACAGUUCAAGCUAAUAUACUCUUUGGCAAGCCAAUGGACAAAACAAGAUAUGAGAAAGCAAUUAAAGCAAGUGCCUUAGAUAAGGAUAUCAAUGAGUUUAGCCAUGGAGAUCUUACAGAAAUUGGUCAGAGAGGGAUAAACAUGAGUGGAGGACAAAAGCAAAGGAUUCAACUAGCUAGAGCAGUCUACAAUGAUGCAAAUAUCUACCUUCUUGACGUUCCUUUCAGUGCAAUUGACGCACAUACAGUUGACUGCGCUUUUGGGAUUAAGAGCUUCUACUGCUUUCUUCUCAAGCUUCACUGCUUUUCUUUGAUUCAAAUCCUCCAUGAUUUUACUAAUAUUUUCUCUCUUAUGUAGGCUUCAUCAGAUUUGAGCAUUUUGGAUUUCGAUAUACCUUAUUCCAUUACCUUUGUAGCAUCAAUAUCAAUUGAAAUUUUGGUGGUUAUUUCUAUAAUGGCUUCGUUUGUUGCCUCACCUUAUUGCCUAUUGAUGGGAACCAAUGGCAAUAUUAUGGGAUUAAAGGCUGCAACCUUUGUUGAUGAUUUGGACUACUUGCUACAAACUGAUAUGCUAACAUUGCAGACUUGAAUUUUUACUCGAUGCGAGUUUUGUUCAGAUUCUGGCUUGCUGUAGCAUGUUUGUGGAUAUUACAUUGUUGCCGACUGCAUUACUUCAUGGUUUUGUGAGGCACUGUAUGAUGAUGGUGAGCUUUGAUGGAUUGGUGCAAGCCUGUUUUGGUAUGGUUCUACAGUAGUGUAUACAUGUAGUGGACAAUGGUGGAUGGUCAAAAGUUACAUGGCAUCGAAAUUGGAUUUGGGGAGCAACAUGUAAAAGUGGCUCACUUCAAGAUCAAGGAUCAAAGAUUGGAUAUCAGAUUAGAAUUAGGAUGGGGAAUUUAUGGAUUUAGAAGAAAAUAGGGGUUAAGUCGACUUUGGUCAAAGUUGACCAAAAAGUCAAUUGUUGACCAAAGUCAACAUUUGGUCAACGUAUCAAAUUUUGUAUUUUUGUGAUGUUAUGAACAUUAUAAUGGAUUAUA